CCUACGGGAGGCAGCAGUAGGGAAUAUUGGGCAAUGGGCGGAAGCCUGACCCAGCCAUGCCGCGUGCAGGAUGACGGCGUUAUGCGUUGUAAACUGCUUUUUAUAGGAAGAAGGAGACCUUGCGAGGUUUGGUGACGGUACUAUAAGAAUAAGCACCGGCUAACUCCGUGCCAGCAGCCGCGGUAAUACGGAGGGUGCGAGCGUUGUCCGGAUUUAUUGGGUUUAAAGGGUGCGUAGGCGGCUUAUUAAGUCAGUGGUGAAAGACGGUCGCUCAACGAUUGCAGUGCCAUUGAUACUGGUAGACUUGAGUUCGUAUGAGGUAGCUGGAAUGGAUAGUGUAGCGGUGAAAUGCAUAGAUAUUAUCCAGAACUCCAAUUGCUAGG
rnacentral:rRNA from 1 species